AUGGCAGCAUAGUAAACGUUGGAU
rnacentral:siRNA from 1 species